rnacentral:tRNA from 1 species
GGGAAGGUGGCUCAGUGGUAGAGCACUUGCCUUGCAUGCAUGAGGUCCUGGGUUCGAUUCCUCAGCUCCA